rnacentral:rRNA from 1 species
UAGGGAAUCUUCCGCAAUGGGCGAAAGCCUGACGGAGCAACGCCGCGUGAGUGAUGAAGGUCUUCGGAUCGUAAAACUCUGUUAUUAGGGGAGAACAUAUGUGUAAGUAACUGUGCACAUCUUGACGGUACCUAAUCAGAAAGCCACGGCUAACUACGUGCCAGCAGCCGCGGUAAUACGUAGGUGGCAAGCGUUAUCCGGAAUUAUUGGGCGUAAAGCGCGCGUAGGCGGUUUUUUAAGUCUGAUGUGAAAGCCCACGGCUCAACCGUGGAGGGUCAUUGGAAACUGGAAAACUUGAGUGCAGAAGAGGAAAGUGGAAUUCCAUGUGUAGCGGUGAAAUGCGCAGAGAUAUGGAGGAACACCAGUGGCGAAGGCGACUUUCUGGUCUGUAACUGACGCUGAUGUGCGAAAGCGUGGGGAUCAAACAGGAUUAGAUACCCUGGUAGUCCACGCCGUAAACGAUGAGUGCUAAGUGUUAGGGGGUUUCCGCCCCUUAGUGCUGCAGCUAACGCAUUAAGCACUCCGCCUGGGGAGUACGACCGCAAGGUUG